rnacentral:lncRNA from 1 species
UGAUGUGGUAUUAUAGUGACAUCUGUAACUUGCUUAUAAUCAAUGAGGUACAGCUUCUUCCCCUCAUGCAUUGAGUACAUAUUUAUAAAAUCCAAUACUGAGGGCCUCCGUGGUGCCCUCUGGUCCUUCUCCUCUGAUCCGAGCCUCUGGCAGGGGACGCGGAAGGGUGGUGGAGCCGGCUCUGCCUUCCCAAAUGGUGAAUCCGAGGCAGGGGAAAUGAAUUGGCCUGCCCAGGGUCCCAAGCUUGAAGCUAGGUCUCCUUCCUCGGACGGAAUACUCCACCAAAAUGAAGAGGAGGAGGAGAGGAAGAAGAUGAAGACGAUGGGAGGUGCAUAG